UUAGAGAAAUAGAGAUGUAUGGGAUGGAAAUGCUCUCACACACAUUCUGUUUGGCCACCAAACCUCACCCCACAUCACCUCACCUCAGCGUAGACCACCGCAGAUCGCCACCGCCACCGCCGCAGAUCGCCACCGUCACCGCCGCAUCCUCACAGAUUCUCUCUCACUCUUGAUCUGUCUCUCUCCGUCACGCGCAUCUGUCUUUCUCUCUCUCUCUGUUUCUCGCUCUGUCGACCUUGUUCACUCUUUCUCCCUCUCUGUCCCCCUUUCUCUAUUACCCCCUUUCUGAAUCUUGCUCUAGGGCUGUUAUGAUUUCUUCAAUUUAAUUUGGUGUUGAUUUCCAAAAAUGGGUUUGGUUGAAGUGGUUUGAUUUGUAAAGUUUUAUGGGUUUGAUGUGCUAAAUGGGUUUGAUUUUAGUGAUUUCAUACAUUUUCCCUUAUUUUUCCUUUCUCUCUCGUUAGUUUCAAAGCCCUAAUCCAUUGAUUGCGUAUGAAUUUGCAUGUAUAUUUGGUCCCUCAUUGUGUAUGUAUGUAUUCAAAGCCCUAAUCUAUUGUAUUGGAAAACCUUCUUCUGGGGGGUUUUCACUCAUUAUUGGAAAUGUUUGUUUCCAUUAUUUUUUUUUUACCCUUUAUGUACUUAUUGUACAAUUCUUAUUCUUUUAUUUUUUUUAAGAUGUUGUAUGGUUCUGUGAAGUUCAUGGGAUGGAUGUAGUGACUGAAUCAGUUUCUUUUAUAACACUGAACUGAUGGAGGAAGUUGCAGUUGGAAGAAUUUUAACUACUAAAGAAAAUUAGCUAGAGACAGAAAUCAAGAACAAAAUGGAUCAAUGUGGCAGUGACAUUGUUUUAUUUUUGUGUAUAUAUAUUCCUUAUCCAUAGCUCUACCUUACAUGCAAAAUGCUUGCUUGAUUUAGUGGUAUUUAUUAGUUGAAGAAUUGGCUAAACACUGACAUUUUGUGCUAGUGGCAGAUUUCAGUCGUUCUUUGUAAUGCUGGAAAACCUUGUGGCUUGCAGUCAGUUUGUUUAUAUGGAGGAACUUCUAAAGGACCCCAGGUUCUAGAUGAAAUUGAUCGGAUGCUUGACAUGGGAUUUGAGCCAGAAGUUCGUUCUAUAUUGAGCCAGACAUGUUCUGUGGAAGAGAAAAUCAUGUUAAAUUAGACCCAAACAACUUCACCAAGUUUUCUAGCAAUUUUUUAGGUUAGAAAUUUGAUGCUACUGAAUUACAUGCUUCAUGAAUUCAUUGUGCAGAAUUGUGGUGUUAAGAUAUUGUAACAUACUAUCUCUGAGAGUAGCCUAUAUUUAUUAAGCUAUAGCUUGGAAAGAAUUGAGUAGAUUUUGACUUGGCAUCCAAAGUUUGCAUUACGAAUUUUCAUGGAAUCACUAUACAGUUGCAAAGUGCAAUCAUUUUAGGUCCAAACAUUUUUUCUUCCUCGCCUUGUUUUGAAAUUUGAUAAAAGAAACAAAAGUGUACAUUUUUGUUUUGAAAUUUGAGAAGAAAAAAAAAAAGUGUACAACGUGUAUUUGUUCUUUCUCACUACCCUCUGGCACAAUUGUUGAAGAUGUUGUGUAUGUUGAAGCAACUAACUCCACUACCGAGACUACUAAUGAUUAAUACUCUUAUCAUCCCCUCUCAAGCUAAUAGGUGAGGGUAACACCAUUAGCUUGUCCUUUAGCUAUAACUUUCUUGUUGACUUUUAAGAAAGGGGAAAGAAGGCACUAGGUUUUAGGAAAGAUUUUACUGGAUUGCAUAUAGUUAGGGAUCUUAUACCCUUAUGUUAAUUGAUCAUUUUAAUACUAAUUAGAUAUAGGACAAAUGAAGGGUGUU